rnacentral:sRNA from 1 species
AAAGGGAAAAUAUGUGGUGGAUGCAGGAGACAGGAUGCAAGCGGUCUGAUGCCCAUCAUCUAUAUAUAGGCUCUUCUUCAAGUGACAAUUUCACUUAGCAAAGUAGAGCUUAGUGUGGGAGAAUCUAAAUUCUUCACAUGUACAGCGAUUGGUGAACCUGAAAGUAUAGAUUGGUAUAAUCCUCAAGGAGAGAAGAUAAUUUCAACCCAGAGGGUAGUAGUGCAAAAGGAAGGUGUUAGGUCACGGUUAACCAUCUACAAUGCAAAUAUAGAAGAUGCAGGGAUAUAUCGUUGUCAAGCAACAGAUGCCAAAGGACAAACACAAGAAGCUACAGUAGUUUUGGAAAUUUACCAAAAACUCACUUUCAGAGAAGUGGUAUCUCCACAAGAAUUCAAACAAGGAGAAGAUGCAGAAGUGGUUUGCCGAGUUAGCAGUUCACCUGCACCUGCUGUCAGCUGGUUGUAUCAUAAUGAGGAAGUCACCACUAUUUCCGACAAUCGGUUUGCCAUGUUAGCAAACAAUAACCUGCAGAUUCUCAACAUCAAUAAGAGUGAUGAAGGUAUAUACAGAUGUGAAGGAAGGG